rnacentral:rRNA from 1 species
AAUGAUUAUUAAUUUGGAGUUUAUAAAGGUUUAAUUUAUAAAUUAAUAUAUUAUAUUUUCGUUUUAGUAUUGUAUAAGGAAUAAAUUUAUUAAGAAGUACUGUGAAGGAGGAUUGAAAUAUAUGAAAAAUUAAUUAUUAAAAAGUAGAUAGAAUAUUGUACCUUUUGUAUCAGGGUUUAUUAAAUAUAUUUAAAUAAAUUUAUUUUCUCGAGUUAAAGAGGGCUAAAUUUUUAUGUUUUAUAAGGUAGUAAACUUAUAUAAAAUAAGAAUUUAGGGAUGAAAUAUUAAUCGGUCUUUAAGAUAUCUAGUUUCUCAAGAAAUGAAUUUAAUUCAGGUAUUUUAUUAUAAAUUAAUUUUUAUAAAGUUUUAUUUUAGUAAAAUACUAAAUUUUUAGGGGAUAAGCUCUAAAAAUUUCUAGAUAGAAGUUGUAUUAUAAGUUUGUAGGCUUGAAGAUAGCUAUCAAUUAAAGUAUGUAAUAAUUUACUUAUAGUUGUAUUUAUUUACAAUUUUAUUAGGUGGAUAUUGAGAUAUUAUUAAUAAUUUUAAUUAAUAAGUAAUAAUGAUAAAAUUAUUAUAAAAUAAUGUAUUAAUAUAAAAUCUUAAAUAAGGAACUCGGCAAAUAUUUACUCGCCUGUUUAUCAAAAACAUCGUCUUUUGAAUAUAUAGAAGAUAUAACCUGCCCACUGAAGAAUUGAAGGGCCGCGGUAUUGUGACCGUGCAAAGGUAGCAUAAUCAUUAGUCUUCUAAUUAAAGGCUGGAAUGAAUGGUUGGACGAGGUAAAAGCUGUCUCAUUUAAGAUAUUUAUAAUUUAACUUUUUAGUGAAAAGGCUGAAAUAAAGUUGGAGGACGAGAAGACCCUAUAGAGCUUAAUAGUUCAGUUGAUAUGAAAUUUAGUAGAUGUUUUAUUAUUAAUCAAUCUAUUUUGUUGGGGUGACAAGAAAAUAAAUAAACUUUUCUAAAAUUUUACACUAAUAAGUGAAAAUAGGAUCCAUUUUUAGUGAUUAUAAGAAAAAGUUACCUUAGGGAUAACAGCGUAAUCCUUUUUGAGAGUUCUUAUCGACAAAAGGGUUUGCGACCUCGAUGUUGGACUAAGAAAAUAUUUGGGUGUAGAUGUUCAAAUGUUAGGUCUGUUCGACCUUUAAAUUCUUACAUGAUCUGAGUUCAGACCGGUGUGAGCCAGGUUGGUUUCUAUCCUUAAUUAAAUGUAAAUAUUUUAGUACGAAAGGACCAAAUAUUUAAGAUAAUCUUUAUUAUAGAAUAAUAUU